rnacentral:rRNA from 2 species
UCGAGCGAACAGACGAGGAGCUUGCUCCUCUGACGUUAGCGGCGGACGGGUGAGUAACACGUGGAUAACCUACCUAUAAGACUGGGAUAACUUCGGGAAACCGGAGCUAAUACCGGAUAAUAUAUUGAACCGCAUGGUUCAAUAGUGAAAGACGGUUUUGCUGUCACUUAUAGAUGGAUCCGCGCCGCAUUAGCUAGUUGGUAAGGUAACGGCUUACCAAGGCAACGAUGCGUAGCCGACCUGAGAGGGUGAUCGGCCACACUGGAACUGAGACACGGUCCAGACUCCUACGGGAGGCAGCAGUAGGGAAUCUUCCGCAAUGGGCGAAAGCCUGACGGAGCAACGCCGCGUGAGUGAUGAAGGUCUUCGGAUCGUAAAACUCUGUUAUUAGGGAAGAACAAAUGUGUAAGUAACUAUGCACGUCUUGACGGUACCUAAUCAGAAAGCCACGGCUAACUACGUGCCAGCAGCCGCGGUAAUACGUAGGUGGCAAGCGUUAUCCGGAAUUAUUGGGCGUAAAGCGCGCGUAGGCGGUUUUUUAAGUCUGAUGUGAAAGCCCACGGCUCAACCGUGGAGGGU